rnacentral:rRNA from 1 species
CCCUUAGAUGUUCUGGGCUGCACGCGCGCUACACUGAAGCUAUCAACACUUUUUCCCUCCCUGAGAAGGGCGGGUAACCUUUUGAAUCAGCUUCGUGGUAGGGAUCGGGGCUUGCAAUUGUUCCCCGUGAACCAGGAAUUCCUAGUAGACGCGAGUCAUAAGCUCGCAUCGAUUAAGUCCCUGCCCUUUGUACACACCGCCCGUCGCUACUACCGAUUGAACGUUUUAGUGAGGCAUUUGGACCGACGCAUCUCAGUUUAACCGCUGGUUUGUGUUGGAAAGACUUCCAAACUUGAGCGUUUAGAGGAAGUAAAAGUCGUAACA